rnacentral:rRNA from 1 species
AGCGUUGUUCGGAAUUACUGGGCGUAAAGCGCACGUAGGCGGCGAUUCAAGUCAGCGGUGAAAGCCCGGGGCUCAACUCCGGAACUGCCUUUGAAACUAGAUUGCUAGAAUCUUGGAGAGGCGAGUGGAAUUCCGAGUGUAGAGGUGAAAUUCGUAGAUAUUCGGAAGAACACCAGUGGCGAAGGCGACUCGCUGGACAAGUAUUGACGCUGAGGUGCGAAAGCGUGGGGAGCAAACAGG